rnacentral:tmRNA from 1 species
GGGGCUGAUUUGGCGUUCGACAGGAAUAUAAAAGGCAAAGAUUGCAUACCAGUUUGAUAAUACUGCAAAAUUAUCAAUUAAAUUUAAAUGCAAACACAAAUAAACUAGCUCCAGCUUAUGCGAGAGCUGCAUAAGUUUAACUUAACUUUUAGGAGCGGGAGUAAGUAGAUAUUCUAGCGAUUUAUUUAAUCCCUAACUUUAGCUAGAUGCUUCUAUUUUGCAAUUUAGGGCAAAAUAGAUUAAGAAUUUCCUAGAUUGCUUAUAUAUUAUUUGAAGUUGUAAUGUAUAAAAAGAUUCUAACUUCGUUUUUUAAGUAUGUCGAGGUCUUUGUGGUUUGAUUUUUGGACUGGGGUUCAAUUCCCCACAGCUCCACCA